UGAAUGAUCUCAGGGUGUGUCUGACCCACAGCUCCUUCUGGAGACAGAGAAAAGUCUCUCCUAGGUAUUUGGUUGUCAACCUCAACUGCUUGCUGAGCCUUCCCCAAGACCAGGCACCUUGGCAGAGAUUUCUGGGUUGUCAGGCAGAACCGAGCAUUCGAGGGUGAUAACUCACUGGAGUCCCUGAAAUCCCUGAUGGACGCACCAGGUAAAAGCAUCCAGGGUUGAAACCAGAUCAGGAAGGUUAUUGUCAGCCUGGGGCUCCUGUAGAGGUGCAUCCACGUUGCAGGUAUUUUCCUUCUUGCUGAGGAGAAACCUGGAUUUCUCAGCUUUGGCACAGUCACAACAUUUGGGGUGAGACCAUUCGUGGUGGUGGUGGGGGGGCAUCCUGUGUAUUGUAGGACGGUUAGCAGCAUCUGUGGUCUCCAUCCUCUAGGUGCCAUUCUACCCUCCCAGCUAUGGCUACCCCAGAUGUCUCCAGAUGGUUUCAAUGCUGUGGGGCAAGGGAGUGGUACGUGAGGAAAACCACCACAGUUGAGAGCCAUUGGUCUACACUUGUGGAAAUGUUUGAGGCUGGACUACACAGGCUGAAGUUCUCUGCCGAGAUAUAGAUAUUUCCCUGGCGAUGAUCUUUCAAGUUGACAUGAAGACAUGGCCACCCGCUGGAACAUCGUGGGUCUGCCGUGGCGCUCUUGUAAUUUGUGAGGCAGGCUCCUGAUGAAUGCAGUGAGUGGUCAUUUUUCUUCUUGUGGCCUCUGGAAUGUGACACAGAACUCAAGGGACAGGAAGGAGAUGAGUUGGAGGCUGGGACAGGGGUCCCUGCCAGGGAUGCUGGUGACUCACGUGACGGUGUUGAUGUGUGGAGUCCGGUGCCUGGUUUGGGGAAUGUUCGUGGGAUAUGUUCCAAAGGACUGACGGACCUAUCAGGUACUGGAGGUGAAUGGUCAAGUCUGAUCUCAGGGCUGACAGUGUCAGGCAAGGACAGGAAGUUGGCAUUGGUCUCAUUGGCUGAGGUUGCUGGGGACCCAGGGGGCAAUGUGUGCCAGGACAGAUGGGUCUGGGGCUAGGAAGGCAGGUUUGGGCUGGCGACCCGGGCUUGGGAGGCAUCCCAGGUAGACAGUGGUUGAGGCUGUGGAAAUGACGGCGAUUGCCUGGGAUGAGAGUGGAGACAGACAAGAUGGGGGUUUUGCUUUAAGCCUGGGGAGCCCACCUCCCAGGUUCAAGCGAUUCUCCUGCCUCAGUUUCCCAAGUAGCUGGGAAUGCAGGUGCGUGCCACCA